CUACAGCUACAUGAUAUAGGUCUACUACAGCUACAUGAUACAGGUCUACUACAGCUACAUGAUACAGCUCUACUCGACAACAUGAUAUAGGUCUACUACAGCUACAUGAUACAGGUCUACUACAGCUACAUGAUACAGGUCUACUACAGCUACAUGAUACAGCUCUACUAGACAACAUGAUAUAGGUCUACUACAGCUACAUGAUACAGGUCUACUAGAAAACAUGAUAUAGGUCUACUACAGCUACAUGAUAUAGGUCUACUACAGCUACAUGAUAUAGGUCUACUACAGCUACAUGAUACAGGUCUACUAGAAAACAUGAUAUAGGUCUACUACAGCUACAUGAUACAGGUCUACUAGAAAACAUGAUAUAGGUCUACUACAGCUACAUGA